rnacentral:lncRNA from 1 species
GACACGGCAUCGCCGGCAGUGAUUGGCUUCGCUUGAUGAUCCCCACCAAGCCCGAUCUUUCUCUUCCUUACAUCAAACAAAAAAAAAGUGGAGAGAAAGGGACCGUCAACUCUUUCACGCCAUGUCCUUCUUUUUCUCCAUGUAGUGAUUGCAGACCGUCGUUCGGAGAGAUGGCUGUGACUUCGAUGGCAACAUUUGGGCAGUCGUUGGCGUCGGAUGUGGCUUGCCGAUGGCCUAGUUAACCAAACAAACAAAAACAAAAAGAGGGAGGAGGGGUCAUCGGAUCUCGUCUUAACUGGCAUUUUCUCUUUGCUUUUCGAUGGCUACCGAUGACCGAUAGUUGGAAGAUGAUAGGCCCGUUAAUUCAUCAAUUUUGGAACCAUUGUCGGUCAGAUUUUGUGGAGGAGGGCGUUAAUUUUGGCCCCUCCUCUUUCUACUGUCCAUCGUGAGAAAAAAAAUUGUCCAAAUUUUUAAAAAUAUUUUUAUUUAAAAAAUUAUUAUAAAAUUAUUAAAUACAUAAUAAUUUAGAUAACUAUCUUUUCUGUUGAUAAUUCAAAUUAUCAAUUUAAAAAAUAUAUCAAAUAUGCCAAUCUAUCUUUAUAUCACUGAUGAUCUGGAUAGAUCGUCGGCCACCAAACGCAUCCUUGAAGUCAAAAGAGUGUUGUCUUAAAGGCUCGGCGUUUUGCCAGUUGGCCGUGAUAAAAGCGCCAGGUCAUUAGGGAAGGUACACAAACGUCGGGGUCAUUCU